AAGUCUGAUGUGAAGGCCGUCGGCUUAACCGGGGUAGUGCAUUGGAAACUGGGGGACUUGAGUGCAGAAGAGGAGAGGGGAACUCCAUGUGUAGCGGUGAAAUGCGUAGAUAUAUGGAAGAACACCAGUGGCGAAGGCGGCUCUCUGGUCUGUAACUGACGCUGAGGUUCGAAAGCGUGGGUAGCAAACAG
rnacentral:rRNA from 1 species